GACGAACGCUGGCGGCGUGCUUAACACAUGCAAGUCGAACGGACAGGCCCUGCUUUUGUGGGGUGCUCGAGUGGCGAACGGGUGAGUAACACGUGAGUAACCUGCCCUUGACUUUGGGAUAACUUCAGGAAACUGGGGCUAAUACCGGAUAGGAGCUCCUGCUGCAUGGUGGGGGUUGGAAAGUUUCGGCGGUUGGGGAUGGACUCGCGGCUUAUCCGCUUGUUGGUGGGGUAGUGGCUUACCAAGGCUUUGACGGGUAGCCGGCCUGAGAGGGUGACCGGCCACAUGGGGACUGAGAUACGGCCCAGACUCCUACGGGAGGCAGCAGUGGGGAAUAUUGCACAAUGGGCGGAAGCCUGAGGCAGCAACGCCGCGUGCGGGAUGACGGCCUUCGGGGUGUAAACCGCUGUCGCCUGUGACGAAGCGUGAGUGACGGUAAUGGGUAAAGAAGCACCGGCUAACUACGUG
rnacentral:rRNA from 1 species